UCGUGGUUUCAACCAGUAGCAAAGCUGAGCACAUAUUCUAGAGACACAAACAGAGAGAGACAGGACACUGACACAACUGGUCACACAGGCUGACCCAGUCAAGGGCUUCUUUCAACAGCACUUUCACACAGGACUCAAAUAAAACAGACACAAACAGCAGAGUGCCCUUCCUCCUUUUCUGUCUGGUAGAGAUGGGAGUCCACUGGCACACACACAGUACUCUCCAGGCACACUUGCAGACAUGCAUUUGCAGAUCCCUCGAGUACCAUGCACAGCCCCCCUGCCUUACCUACUUCACGGUUUGUCCAGUUGCUGGCUGGUCCAGCUUGAAGCUCAUUGUAAACAUGCAGCUCACACACUUGUCCCUCAUAAACACCAUAUUCACAAGUUCCCCUGGGCAUACCAGCAUGGGCCACCUGCCUGCCAGAUACCUCGUCCUGGACCCAAGGCCCCCGCUACUCACCAGCUAGUCCAGUUUACAGUGUGCUAGCAAAUACACACGCACACCCACCAGGUUUUGGGAAGAUAUAGAAACUCACCGCCCCAGCAGCCCGCACCAGGCAUGUGGGCUGACCUGCAGCACCACUCCAGCCACCAUUGUGAAGAUCUUACCUCACUCACAUUGUGAUUUCACGUCACCUUACAUUGUGAAGUUGGCAUCACAGGCCAUGGGGACUACAACCCAGGCUUGGAUCUGUAGCUGGCACCAGCCUUCACGCACACUCACUCAGGCUCCACCAGUAGCUGGCAAGUUGACCUUCAGCACACAUGCACACAGGAGAGAGUGAGAACACAGAAAGAGAACGUUGGUGUUCAAAGUCCUGCUGGAUUCAGUGGAGCAGGAAGAAACCUGUGUAACUGUGGAGGAUGAGCUCAGUGUGUAUGAAGGGGAUAUGAAACCUAAUAAUAAUGUCUGAGCACCUGAGCAAUGGAAAACAGUAGCUGCACGUUAUAGGAAGAUCAACCCCAUCAGUGCCAAAUGUGCUUUGCUUGUGGAUCUUGACCUGGUGUUGGCGCAAGUUAUCUGCUUACAUUGCUCAGGGUCCUUCCUCUGCUGAUAAAUAUUGCAGUCGUCCAGUACGGGAAAAAUGCUAUUUAUUUAAGGCAAAUGAAGAGUACAUGUAACAGUAAGUUAAAAAUAUCUCAUAAAAUGAGACAUUCUACUCAACCACGUUCAUACAAUUUUGAAUUUAAAAAUAAAUAAUAAUUAUGAAUCAGCCUGUGCUUUGCAUUUUUCCUAUAUUACGUGGACCUGUACUGGAGUACUAGGACAUAGGUAUGCCUUCUAA